rnacentral:sRNA from 1 species
ACUUUACUAGGGUUUCUAGAUUGUUACUAGGGUCAUCUCUGUGCUUCUUUGUCUACAAUUUUGGAAAAAGUGAUGACGCCAUUGCUCUUUCCCAAAUGUAGACAAAGCAAUACCGUGAUGACGUCGCGGAGAGUUUGUUGAGAUGCUACGAACGUGUGUAUGUUUCAUGUUUGUUGUUUGAUUUUGCUGACUGCUGAGUUCUUUUUUUCUUGGAUCUCGCUCAAAACUAGAUCCUCACUACAGAGCAUAACUGUUGAUCUUUCUUAUUCCAGAUUUGCUCUGAACAAGGGCAUCUAAAUUCACAGAUUCGUGUGAUUAUUGUUCUAGACUUGCAGACUUCUUUUUUUCGUUUUUUUUUUGCAAAUCCAGAUUUGUUUUCUGAAUGGUGAAUUCGUGGUCCAGUAACGUUUUGAUACCUUUCAAAGAGAUAAACAUAACAGAACAAAAUU